GGCCGGGGCGGCAGCUACACAUGCAAGUCGAGCGGUAACAGGAAGAAGCUUGCUUCUUUGCUGACGAGCGGCGGACGGGUGAGUAAUACUUGGGAACUUGCCUUUAGGAGGGGGAUAACCGCUGGAAACGGUGGCUAAUACCGCAUAAUGUCUACGGACCAAAGCAGGGGCUCUUCGGACCUUGCACCUAAAGAUAGGCCCAAGCGAGAUUAGCUAGUUGGUGGGGUAAAGGCCCACCAAGGCGACGAUCUCUAGCUGUUCUGAGAGGAUGAUCAGCCACACUGGGACUGAGACACGGCCCAGACUCCUACGGGAGGCAGCAGUGGGGAAUAUUGCACAAUGGGGGAAACCCUGAUGCAGCCAUGCCGCGUGUGUGAAGAAGGCCUUCGGGUUGUAAAGCACUUUCAGUGGUGAGGAAGGCCGUAAGAUUAAUACUCUUGCGGAUUGACGUUAACCACAGAAGAAGCACCGGCUAACUCCGUGCCAGCAGCCGCGGUAAU
rnacentral:rRNA from 1 species